CACAACACAACUAGUGGUACAACAACCAGUGGCACAACUACAACUAGUGGUACAACAACCAGUGGCACAACUACAACUAGUGGUACAACGACCAGUGGCACAACUACAACUAGUGGUACAACGACCAGUGGCACAACUACAACUAGUGGAACAACAACAAGUGGUUCAACAACCAGUGGCACAACAACAACCAGCGGUACUACAACUAGUGGCACAACUACAACCAGCGGUACAACGACCAGUGGCACAACUACAACCAGUGGUACAACAA